rnacentral:rRNA from 1 species
UACGAAGGGGGCUAGCGUUGUUCGGAAUUACUGGGCGUAAAGCGCGCGUAGGCGGUUUUGCAAGCCAGAGGUGAAAUGCCUGAGCUCAACUUAGGAAUUGCCUUUGGGACUGCGAGGCUUUGAGGACUGGAGAGGUGAGUGGAAUUCCCAGUGUAGAGGUGAAAUUCGUAGAUAUUAGGAAGAACACCAGUGGCGAAGGCGGCUCACUGGCCCGGUACUGACGCUGAGGCGCGAAAGCGUGGGGAGCAAACAGG